GAGGGUAUAGGUCAGUGGUAGAGUGCCCGCCUAGCACGCACAAGGUCCUGGGUUCCAUCCCCAGUACCUCCA
rfam:Camelus ferus unplaced genomic scaffold scaffold345, whole genome shotgun sequence.